CAAAUGGCAAAAAACGGAACCCUUAUGGAUUCGUCAUGUCUGUCUGUCUAUCCGCCCCACUUUUCUCCGAAACUAUAAGAACUAUACUGUUGAAACUUGGUAAGUAGAUGUAUCCUGUGAACCGCAUUAAGAUUUUCAUACAAAAAUAGAAAAAAAACAAUAAAUUUUUGGGGUUCCCCAUACUUCGAACUGAAACUCAAAAUAUUUUUUUUCAUCAAACCCAUACGUGUGGGGUAUCUAUGGAUAGGUCUUCAAAAAUGAUAUUGAGGUUUCUAAUAUCAUUUUUUUCUAAACUGAAUAGUUUGCGCGAGAGACACUUCCAAAG